ensembl:lncRNA
ACAUAACUACAGUCUAUUAAGAAGUACAGGAAAGAUUCAUCACCUUUAUUGACAUAUGGGAUAAAGGAAGAAUUUGACUCUGCAUAUGGAAAAAGCUGUCAGUUUUGAAUUCAUUUCUAAAUUCAGGCAGAUGCAGAAGUGUUUCCUGUUGCACAGGAAAAGCAGGCAUAUAGACUGUCAGUAACAUAUUUUUCACAAAGCACACAGAUGUAAUCUCAGCUCUGGAAUAGGUGUUUCUUUGGCUUAUUCAAUAGGAAGGGUAAGCGCCUAAAAAAGACCUGAAAAAGCCAUUCUAUUUUGAAAUAAUAGAAUAAUCAGAACAUUAAAAUUUGAUGGAUUAGAAAUCCACUUGAAUUAACAAGUAGCUAAUAAAAUUAGAGAUGGCUGAUGCUUUAGUGUGCGUAAAUGCUAUUUGUGUUUUCCAGACUGGGAUUUGACAGUGAACAAAAUCUGUCUCUUAGAAAUCAAGAGUAUUCAGAAUAACUCACAAAGCAAUCAGAAAGAUCCUUCCAAAGGAUCACUUCUCAUGUAACUGCACCUGUACAGGAUGGCUUCUUACUGACAUAACUGUCUAAUAGUCACCGUUCAUAUCAGUGUGGAUCUGAAUUUUGAAAUUCUUACUCAUGCCUUUACUAAGCUGGGUUUCUUACAGCAGUUAAUCUUGUUUGCAAUGACGUUAAUAUUUUACUAGGGCUUCAAUUCAACAUGUUUUACAACAGACAUCCUUCAGUCUUGACUGCGCAAGCGGCGCUGUUCUAACAUCUGUGCUCCAGCUUGCAUGCACGUUGCUGCAUCCUGUAGGCAGCUCCAAGAAAAAAGUUGGUGAGCUCUGUGCCUCCUCCUUGCACUUUCACCACUUGCCCCUGGCAGCCUGCUGUGUGCUGCACCUGUCCGGAGGAAGGCAGCAACCACAAAGCCACAGGGAAACACGGUGCAUUAAACCCAGCUGAAUGUGAGUGACUCAGCCCAUGGUCUUGAAUCACUUUUUUAAACUGCGAUGAUUUUGAGGAAACCCCAAUGGAACAGAAGCAAGAAAUUCCUGGCAAUCAGUGAAGCAGUAACAGUUCAUGGAGCUGCCCUUCACAAACCUGGAAGUAGCUUUCAUCUUACUGGCUUUUGUCAUAUUCUCCUUGUUCACCUUGGCAUCUAUCUACAGUGACCCCCAUGGCAAGGAAGAAGGUAAAUGAAAUAAUCUAAAAUGAAUACAGUACUUUGCAUUUUUUAACUAAUGGUUGAUUUACAUAGGUUUUGUGUUUGAUCAGGAUGGUAGACUUAUAGUACACAACACUUUACCUUUAGGAAUACUGUCCAAAGGGCAGAAUGCAACGAGGAAAGCUACUGAUAAAAGCCACAAACACAGAAAUUGUGCUAAGGUGUAAGACCAAGAACUGUUACAGCUCUGUAUGCUGACCAAGCUAUGUCAGACUGCUGAGAGCAGUUCUGUAAGAAACCUCUCAAUGAAUAAGUGCUUGUUCUCUGCAAGGGAAGCCUUUUUUUCCUAGCAACAGCUCUGCUUCAUGUUCUGAGGUGCUAUAAAACAUUCAGGCUGGCGUAACUGGGGAUGUUCUUGUAAUGAAGGUAAAUGUUUGUCUUCAAUAGUCUGAGGCCAAGUCUUCACUCUCUUUUGUGAGCACAAAAACACUCGUAGGGGUUGCCUUUCUCCCAUUCAGAAGGUUUUCAAAUCCAAGGGGAAAAAUCACCCCAAUCCCAUGCUAGAUCUACAAAGGAGCAUUAACAUAACCUUACACCAUCAGCAGAGAAUUCCCUUGUAGCAGGCCUA